rnacentral:rRNA from 1 species
ACGCUGGCGGCAUGCCUCAUACAUGCAAGUCGAACGGGAUCCUCGGAUCUAGUGGCGCACGGGUGAGUAACAUGUGGGAAUCUGCCUGAAGGUUCGGAAUAACUGCGGGAAACUGUAGCUAAUACCGGAUGUGUCUGCAAAGAGAAAGAUUUAUCGCCUUCAGAUGAGCCCGCACUAGAUUAGCUAGUUGGUGAGGUAAUUGCUCCACCAAGGCUACGAUCUAUAGCUGAUUUGAGAGGAUGAUCAGCCACACUGGGACUGAGACACGGCCCAGACUCCUACGGGAGGCAGCAGUAGGGAAUAUUGGACAAUGGGGGAAACCCUGAUCCAGCAAUGCCGCGUGAGUGAAGAAGGCCUUCGGGUUGUAAAACUCUUUCAUCAAUGAUGAUAAUGACAUUAGUUGAAGAAGAAGCCCCGGCUAACUUCGUGCCAGCAGCCGCGGUAAUACGAAGGGGGCUAGCGUUGUUCGGAAUCACUGGGCGUAAAGCGUAUGUAGGCGGAUCAAAAAGUUAGAUGUGAAAUCCCUGGGCUCAACCCAGGAACUGCAUUUAAAACUAGUGAUCUAGAAUUUGGUAGGGGUUAGUAGAAUUUCCAGUGUAGAGGUGAAAUUCGUAGAUAUUGGAAAGAAUACCAGUGGCGAAGGCGACUAACUGGGCCAUUUUUGACGCUGAGAUACGAAAGCGUGGGUAGCAAACAGGAUUAGAUACCCUGGUAGUCCACGCAGUAAACGAUGAGUGCUAGUCGCUGGAACAAUAGUUUCAGUGUCGAAGCUAACGCAUUAAGCACUCCGCCU